rnacentral:rRNA from 1 species
AGUAAGCGUGAGCAAUCUGCCUUUAAGAGGGGGAUAACAGUCGGAAACGGCUGCUAAUACCGCAUAAAGCAUUAAAUUCGCAUGUUUUUUGAUGCCAAAGGAGCAAUCCGCUUUUAGAUGAGCUCGCGUCUGAUUAGCUGGUUGGCGGGGUAACGGCCCACCAAGGCGACGAUCAGUAGCCGGACUGAGAGGUUGAACGGCCACAUUGGGACUGAGACACGGCCCAG